GAUGAACGCUGGCGGCGUGCCUAAUACAUGCAAGUCGAGCGAACAGAUAAGGAGCUUGCUCCUUUGACGUUAGCGGCGGACGGGUGAGUAACACGUGGGUAACCUACCUAUAAGACUGGGAUAACUUCGGGAAACCGGAGCUAAUACCGGAUAAUAUUUCGAACCGCAUGGUUCGAUAGUGAAAGAUGGUUUUGCUAUCACUUAUAGAUGGACCCGCGCCGUAUUAGCUAGUUGGUAAGGUAACGGCUUACCGAGGCGACGAUACGUAGCCGACCUGAGAGGGUGAUCGGCCACACUGGAACUGAGACACGGUCCAGACUCCUACGGGAGGCAGCAGUAGGGAAUCUUCCGCAAUGGGCGAAAGCCUGACGGAGCAACGCCGCGUGAGUGAUGAAGGUCUUCGGAUCGUAAAACUCUGUUAUUAGGGAAGAACAUACGUGUAAGUAACUGUGCACGUCUUGACGGUACCUAAUCAGAAAGCCACGGCUAACUACGUG
rnacentral:rRNA from 1 species